GAUACCCUAUUAUUUUAAACGUUAAUUUUCUAUCUUUAUUUAUUAAUAGUUAUGUUCUUUAAAGUUAAAAAAUUUGGCGGUAUUUUAGUCUGUUCAGAGGAACCUGUCUUUUAAUUGAUAUUCCACGAUUAUUUUUACCUUUACUUUAAAUUUAUAUAUCGUUGUUUAUAAAAAUUUCAGGAGGAUUAAAAUUUUUAUUUCUUAUUAUUUUGCUUUAUUUCAGAUCAAGGUGUAGUUUAUGUUAAGGUUGGGAUGGGUUACAUUGUUUAUAUCUAUGGUUUCUUUAUUUAUAAUUUAGGAUAAAUUGGAUUUGAUAGUAAUUAUUAUUUAUAUAUGUAUAUUGAUUUAGCUCUAAAAUAUGCACACAUCGCC
rnacentral:rRNA from 1 species